GGGCUAUUAGCUCAGUAGGUAGAGCACCGCCCUUUUAAGGCGGCUGUCUCAGGUUCGAAUCCUGAAUAGCUCA
rnacentral:tRNA from 1 species